UCGCUGGUUCGAUUCCGGCAG
rnacentral:snRNA from 1 species